GACGAACGCUGGCGGCGUGCUUAACACAUGCAAGUCGAACGGAAAGGCCCUGCUUUUGUGGGGUGCUCGAGUGGCGAGCGGGUGAGUAACACGUGAGUAACCUGCCCUUGAUUUUGGGAUAACUUCAGGAAACUGGGGCUAAUACCGGAUAGGAGCUCCUGCUGCAUGGUGGGGGUUGGAAAGUUUCGGCGGUUGGGGAUGGACUCGCGGCUUAUCAGCUUGUUGGUGGGGUAGUGGCUUACCAAGGCUUUGACGGGUAGCCGGCCUGAGAGGGUGACCGGCCACAUUGGGACUGAGAUACGGCCCAGACUCCUACGGGAGGCAGCAGUGGGGAAUAUUGCACAAUGGGCGGAAGCCUGAUGCAGCAACGCCGCGUGCGGGAUGACGGCCUUCGGGUUGUAAACCGCUUUCGCCUGUGACGAAGCGUGAGUGACGGUAAUGGGUAAAGAAGCACCGGCUAACUACGUG
rnacentral:rRNA from 1 species